AUGGAAUUUUGCAGUAUUACUAAGAGUGGCUUGCGUGGUCCAACAGUCCACAGCAGGGGGAUGGGAAACAAAGCACCAGCUCAAAAAGUGGAGGAACGCAGAAGGACGUAGAUGUCAGGGCCAAUUAAAACAGCUGUUUAAAACAUACUUCUACCAAGAUUGCAACGUGAAGAACAUUCUAAGUUCUGGCAUCACCUUCUGGUCUGGACAAGCCAUUGUACAAGAUCUGAAAAAGCUGCAGAGGGUUGCAAACUCAACCAGCUCCGCAAUGAGCACCAUCCACCCCAGCACUGAAGACGUCUCGAGAAGGUGGCUUCCAUUAUUAAGGGGUCCCGUCACCCAGGACGUGCUCUCUUCUUACUGCUAACAUCAAAAGAGGAAGAAGAUGCAAAAGCCUCAGACUCGUACCACCAGGUUCAGGAAUAGUUACUACCCCUCAGCCAUCAAGCUCUUGAAUCAAAGGGGAUAACUUCAUUCAGUUUCAUUUGCCCCAUCACUGAAAUAUUCCCACAACCAAUGGGCUCACUUUCAAGGACUCUUCAUCACAUGUACUUAAUAUUUAUUAGUUUUUUUUGUACAGUAUUUGCACAGUUCUUUAUCUUCUGCACUCUGGUUGAAUGCCCUAG